rnacentral:rRNA from 1 species
GUAGGGAAUCUUCCACAGUGGGCGAAAGCCUGAUGGAGCAACGCCGCGUGUGUGAUGAAGGGUUUCGGCUCGUAAACACUGUUGUAAGAGAAGAAUGACAUUGAGAGUAACUGUUCAAUGUGUGACGGUAUCUUACCAGAAAGGAACGGCUAAAUACGCGCCAG